UACGGAGGGGGCUAGCGUUGUUCGGAAUUACUGGGCGUAAAGCGCACGUAGGCGGCUUUGUAAGUUAGAGGUGAAAGCCCGGGGCUCAACUCCGGAAUUGCCUUUAAGACUGCAUCGCUAGAAUUGUGGAGAGGUGAGUGGAAUUCCGAGUGUAGAGGUGAAAUUCGUAGAUAUUCGGAAGAACACCAGUGGCGAAGGCGGCUUUCUGGGCCUUACCUGACGCUGAGGCGCGAAAGCUAGGGGAGCGAACAGG
rnacentral:rRNA from 1 species